rnacentral:lncRNA from 1 species
UUUUCGCUGAGCCUCGCCACGAACGUUAUCAGUAUGGAGAGGCUUGACCACUGUUUCAAUCAGGGUUAUGUCGUUUUCAUCUGCGGUUUUCAAGAAAGUAUAGGAGACAAUGAUAAUAACAAGAAUGAGGAGACAAAGGGCAACAACGGAUUAAUCUUGUUUAUAGUUGAAAAUUGUGCAGAUGAAGUCACUAAAAAUAGAAGUGAAAAUGUUUCUAGAGAUUUUAAGUAUAUAGGAGAGAGAGGAGGAGAACCUGGGUGAAAGAUAGAAAAGGUUUAUCAAAUUGUCAACAGCGCCAAAAACAGUGAAAUGAUGUUUACUUUUUUUUUGGCAAUAAAAGAUAUUUACUUAAUUAUUAUUUUUUGUUAUAUGGAACGGAGUCUAAAUACUAUAGCUGUAAAUUGGGCGAG